AGAGUAGUUUACUAUAAUUUCCUGAGACCGGCGCACGGGUGCGUAACACGUAUGCAACUUACCCUUUACUGGGGCAUAGCUCAGAGAAAUCUGAAUUAAUUCCCCAUAAUGAUAUUGAAUCGCAUGAUUUGAUAUCUAAAGCUCCGGCGGUAAAGGAUAGGCAUGCGGUGUAUUAGCUAGUUGGUGAGGUAAUGGCUCACCAAGGCUACGAUACAUAGGGGUUCUGAGAGGAUGAUCCCCCACACUGGUACUGAGACACGGACCAGACUCCUACGGGAGGCAGCAGUAGGGAAUAUUGGUCAAUGGACGCAAGUCUGAACCAGCCAUGCCGCGUGCAGGAUGACGGCCCUCUGGGUUGUAAACUGCUUUUAUAUGGGAAGAAACCCCGGGAUGCGUUCCGGGCUGACGGUACCAUACGAAUAAGGAUCGGCUAACUUCGUGCCAGCAGCCGCGGUAAGACGAAGGAUCCAAGCGUUGUCCGGAUUUACUGGGUUUAAAGGGUGCGUAGGCGGAUGCUUAAGCCAGUGGUGAAAUCUCUCAGCUCAACUGAGAAACUGCCAUUGGAACUGGGUAUCUUGAAUUCGAUUGAGGUAGAUGGAAUAUAACAUGUAGCGGUGAAAUGCUUAGGUAUGUUAUGGAACACCGAUUGCGAAGGCAGUCUACUAAGUCGACAUUGACGCUGAGGCACGAAAGCGUGGGU
rnacentral:rRNA from 1 species